GAUGAACGCUGGCGGUGUGCCUAAUACAUGCAAGUCGAGCGAACAGACGAGGAGCUUACUCCUCUGACGUUAGCGGCGGACGGGUGAGUAACACGUGGAUAACCUACCUAUAAGACUGGGAUAACUUCGGGAAACCGGAGCUAAUACCGGAUAACAUGUUGAACCGCAUGGUUCAACAGUGAAAGACGGUCUUGCUGUCACUUAUAGAUGGAUCCGCGUCGCAUUAGCUAGUUGGUAAGGUAACGGCUUACCAAGGCAACGAUGCGUAGCCGACCUGAGAGGGUGAUCGGCCACACUGGAACUGAGACACGGUCCAGACUCCUACGGGAGGCAGCAGUAGGGAAUCUUCCGCAAUGGGCGAAAGCCUGACGGAGCAAUGCCGCGUGAGUGAAGAAGGUCUUCGGAUCGUAAAACUCUGUUAUUAGGGAAGAACAAAUGUGUAAGUAACUAUGCACGUCUUGACGGUACCUAAUCAGAAAGCCACGGCUAACUACGUG
rnacentral:rRNA from 1 species